GUGGCGUAUCUCAACUCAACCUGGCGGCUGUGUUGUGAUGGGACUCAGAGGGAGUGAUGGAACCUGUUCUGUGGUUGGGUGGUUGAAGGGGUGGGGGCGAGGCUAUGUGUACCUGUCAGAGACGUGUCAAGGUGGGAAAGCUGAGCUCACCUGGAUAGUGAAGUCUGCCGUUCCAACAGCCUGGUCAGGCCUCACCCUGAGUCGCUCAUUAAGAUAACAUGAUUGAGGUAGUGCUGUUUAAGGCCUCACCCUGCUUCGCUCAUUAAGAUAACAUGAUUGAGGUAGUGCUGUUUAAGGCCUCACCCUGCUUCGCUCAUUAAGAUAACAUGAUUGAGGUAGUGCUGUUUAAGGCCUCACCCUGCUUCGCUCAUUAAGAUAACAUGAUUGAGGUAGUGCUGUUUAAGGCCUCACCCUGCUUCGCUCAUUAAGAUAACAUGAUUGAGGUAGUGCUGUUUAAGGCCUCACCAUGCGUCGCUCAUUAAGAUAACAUGAUUGAGGUAGUGCUGUUUAAGGCCUCACCCUGCUUCGCUCAUUAAGAUAACAUGAUUGAGGUAGUGCUGUUUAAGGCCUCACCAUGCGUCGCUCAUUAAGAUAACAUGAUUGAGGUAGUGCUGUUUAAGGCCUCACCAUGCAUCGCUCAUUAAGAUAACAUGAUUGAGGUAGUGCUGUUUAAGGCCUCACCCUGCUUCGCUCAUUAAGAUAACAUGAUUGAGGUAGUGCUGUUUAAGGCCUCACCCUGCUUCGCUCAUUAAGAUAACAUGAUUGAGGUAGUGCUGUUUCAGGCCUCACCCUGCGUCGCUCAUUAAGAUAACAUGACUGAGGUAGUGCUGUUUAAGGCCUCACCCUGCGUCGCUCAUUAAGAUAACAUGAUUGAGGUAGUGCUGUUUAAGGCCUCACCCUGCUUCGCUCAUUAAGAUAACAUGAUUGAGGUAGUGCUGUUUAAGGCCUCACCAUGCGUCGCUCAUUAAGAUAACAUGAUUGAGGUAGUGCUGUUUAAGGCCUCACCCUGAGUCGCUCAUUAAGAUAACAUGAUUGAGGUAGUGCUGUUUAAGGCCUCACCCUGCUUCGCUCAUUAAGAUAACAUGAUUGAGGUAGUGCUGUUUAAGGCCUCACCCUGCUUCGCUCAUUAAGAUAACAUGAUUGAGGUAGUGCUGUUUAAGGCCUCACCCUGCUUCGCUCAUUAAGAUAACAUGAUUGAGGUAGUGCUGUUUAAGGCCUCACCAUGCGUCGCUCAUUAAGAUAACAUGAUUGAGGUAGUGCUGUUUAAGGCCUCACCCUGCUUCGCUCAUUAAGAUAACAUGAUUGAGGUAGUGCUGUUUAAGGCCUCACCAUGCGUCGCUCAUUAAGAUAACAUGAUUGAGGUAGUGCUGUUUAAGGCCUCACCAUGCGUCGCUCAUUAAGAUAACAUGAUUGAGGUAGUGCUGUUUCAGGCCUCACCUGCUUCACUCAUUAAGAUAACAUGAUUGAGGUAGUGUUGUUUAAGGCCUCACCAUGCUCUCUCUGAUCAUUAGACUAAUAUCAUUGAGGUACUGUGUUUUGUCUAACAUGGAGGGAUAGCUUUAGACUCUGAAGGCUCUCUCUCCCCCUCUGUCUCUCUCAAAGACACCCACCAUCAUAUCAUGGAUCAAAUGUCUUUGUUGUGACAAUGCAGCAGACAUACUGUAGGAAAGACUCCUAAGAGGUGACAAGCCAAUUUGUCCAUCUCCUCAUCAUCAAUGUGGGAGGAAAGAACCUGCCAGCC